rfam:Gossypium arboreum cultivar AKA8401 contig_26911_3, whole genome shotgun sequence.
AAUGUGAAAAUGACAAAUCAGAUUUUUCCUCUUGAUUUUUAACUUUUUUCUCUUGAAAAAUUUCAUAUCCAACUAAAAAUGCAGAAAAUCAAGAGGAAAAAUCUGAUUUGUUAUUCUCCCAUU